UGUCGGGAGUUAGGAAAUGCAAGGAUGUUAAUAGCAUCUUUGUUUGACUAAGGCUCCGGAGGAAGCCACGGCUAACUCUGUGCCAGCAGCCGCGGUAAUACAGAGGCGGCAAGCGUUGUUCGGAAUUAUUGGGCGUAAAGAGCACGUAGGCGGCUGUGUAAGUCGGUUGUGAAAGCCUUCCGCUUAACGGAAGAACGGCAUCCGAUACUGCAUAGCUCGAGUGCGGGAGGGGAGAGUGGAACUUCUGGUA
rnacentral:rRNA from 1 species